rnacentral:lncRNA from 1 species
AGGUAUGCCCUGGUUCACUGUAGGAAGAGACUAUAUACGGAUGUGAACACCAGAAGAUGAAGACCAUUGGAAGUCAUCUUGAAGGCUGCACAUGUUCUUCGGAAAAAGAUCUAAAAGCAUCACCUUUUGCUUUGUCUGCUGGUGCUUAAGCAGUUUGAAUAUGUCAUCCCACUGCCUUUGGCCUUCAUAGCUUCUGGCCCAGGAAAGGGAAGAAUUACAUGAAGACACAUGGAGAGGGGAGCCAAGGGGAGAGGUUCAGAAGAAACAAAGCCUGCUGAUAUCUUGAUCUUGGGGUCUAACCUCCAGAACGGUGAUGAAAUGUCUGUUAUUUAAGCCAUUCGGUCUGUGGUAUUGGUGACAACAGUCUAAGCAGACUAAUGCAAGCCCUGACACAGACUUUAUGCAAUUUAAUUCUCUUUUCUCAGUCAUGAUUUUCUCCUCUGUAAUAAGCUCUAAUUAUCAGUGAUGAAAAUUAAAUGUGUAAAUGUGUACAUUAUUGUUUAAAGACAAGUAAAGAAAACCAACACCCUUGUUUUUGUUUAACGGAUCUACCUAUUUUUAGGAAAUGUUUAAGCAGAUGUGGAUUUUUUUUUUAACACAAUAAAAUACUAUCCUUUUCUCAGCUCUUUUAAAAAAUACAUACCUAUUUUCUGAGAAGACAUUUUCACUUGGUUGAAUGAUGUUUAAUCCAGCUUUGCAAAAUAGCUCUUCACCCAGAAUAUGGCUGGUGGUUUGUGCAAAUAGCAAAGAACACUUGAUUUAUUUUACUACCUUAGUUGGAAAACAAAUUUAGUUAGUUACUUUACCUUUUGUUGUGUUGAUUUUAACCAUUAUGCUUUGACUCAUAGUUUUUCUUAUAAGGCACAUUGGGUAAAGAAAGUAGCAUAGAGUUGAAUCCCACCCUCCCCUGUUACUAAAUGGCUUUGUUAUCUUGGGUUAGCUAACUG